AGGGCGGCCACCGCUAGAGGAGGCAGGACGGGUGUCUAAACGGGAUCAGAGAAGGCCGCCCGGGGAUUGUGAGUGAGAUAAACAGCAGGACAAAGAAGAGGAACAGAAGAAAGAGAGGCCACAUGUCCCGCGAGGGAUUAUUCGAUUUCCGUGGGCCCCAUUCCCUUCAGCCUUGACCCCGGGACAGAAGAACGCUUCCCUGAGAUGGAUCCAAGCUCAUCAGCUUUGCUGCAAGACACGGAACACCCUCCAC